AAUGGGUCAGCGACUUAUAUUCUGUAGCAAGGUUAACCGAAUAGGGGAGCCGAAGGGAAACCGAGUCUUAACUGGGCGUUAAGUUGCAGGGUAUAGACCCGAAACCCGGUGAUCUAGCCAUGGGCAGGUUGAAGGUUGGGUAACACUAACUGGAGGACCGAACCGACUAAUGUUGAAAAAUUAGCGGAUGACUUGUGGCUGGGGGUGAAAGGCCAAUCAAACCGGGAGAUAGCUGGUUCUCCCCGAAAGCUAUUUAGGUAGCGCCUCGUGAAUUCAUCUCCGGGGGUAGAGCACUGUUUCGGCAAGGGGGUCAUCCCGACUUACCAACCCGAUGCAAACUGCGAAUACCGGAGAAUGUUAUCACGGGAGACACACGGCGGGUGCUAACGUCCGUCGUGAAGAGGGAAACAACCCAGACCGCCAGCUAAGGUCCCAAAGUCAUGGUUAAGUGGGAAACGAUGUGGGAAGGCCCAGACAGCCAGGAUGUUGGCUUAGAAGCAGCCAUCAUUUAAAGAAAGCGUAAUAGCUCACUGGUCGAGUCGGCCUGCGCGGAAGAUGUAACGGGGCUAAACCAUGCACCGAAGCUGCGGCAGCGACGCUUAUGCGUUGUUGGGUAGGGGAGCGUUCUGUAAGCCUGUGAAGGUG
rnacentral:rRNA from 1 species